rnacentral:rRNA from 1 species
AAACACGGACCAAGGAGUCUAACACGUGCGCGAGUCAAAGGGACCCCGAAUCCCAGAGGCGCAAUGAAAGUGAACCGAGGGAGGAUGGCCGGGGAGAACAGCGWAGCCCCCGGUCCGCACUCCCGGGGCGUCGCGCGGCCUCGCGUUCGCGCGGGGCGGCGGCGCACCCUGAGCGUACGCGUUGGGACCCGAAAGAUGGUGAACUAUGCCUGGUCAGGACGAAGUCAGGGGAAACCCUGAUGGAGGUCCGUAGCGGUUCUGACGUGCAAAUCGAUCGUCGGAACUGG